CCUACGGGUGGCAGCAGUGGGGAAUAUUGCACAAUGGGCGCAAGCCUGAUGCAGCCAUGCCGCGUGUGUGAAGAAGGCCUUCGGGUUGUAAAGCACUUUCAGCGGGGAGGAAGGCGGUGAGGUUAAUAACCUCAUCGAUUGACGUUACCCGCAGAAGAAGCACCGGCUAACUCCGUGCCAGCAGCCGCGGUAAUACGGAGGGUGCAAGCGUUAAUCGGAAUUACUGGGCGUAAAGCGCACGCAGGCGGUCUGUCAAGUCGGAUGUGAAAUCCCCGGGCUCAACCUGGGAACUGCAUUCGAAACUGGCAGGCUAGAGUCUUGUAGAGGGGGGUAGAAUUCCAGGUGUAGGGGGGAAAUGCGUAGAGAUCUGGAGGAAUACCGGUGGCGAAGGCGGCCCCCUGGACAAAGACUGACGCUCAGGUGCGAAAGCGUGGGGAGCAAACAGGAUUAAUACCCCUGUAGUC
rnacentral:rRNA from 1 species